rnacentral:rRNA from 1 species
UCGAGCGAACCAAGGGAGCUUGCUCCCAGAGGUUAGCGGCGGACGGGUGAGUAACACGUGGGCAACCUGCCCUGUAGAUUGGGAUAACAUCGAGAAAUCGGUGCUAAUACCGAAUAAUCAAUUGAAUCACAUGGUUCGAUUGUAAAAGAUGGCUCCUGCUAUCACUACGGGAUGGGCCCGCGGCGCAUUAGCUAGUUGGUAAGGUAAUGGCUUACCAAGGCGACGAUGCGUAGCCGACCUGAGAGGGUGAUCGGCCACACUGGGACUGAGACACGGCCCAGACUCCUACGGGAGGCAGCAGUAGGGAAUCUUCCGCAAUGGACGAAAGUCUGACGGAGCAACGCCGCGUGAGUGAUGAAGGUUUUCGGAUCGUAAAGCUCUGUUGUUAGGGAAGAACAAGUGCCGUUCGAAUAGGUCGGCACCUUGACGGUACCUAACCAGAAAGCCACGGCUAACUACGUGCCAGCAGCCGCGGUAAUACGUAGGUGGCAAGCGUUGUCCGGAAUUAUUGGGCGUAAAGCGCGCGCACGCGGUCUUUUAAGUCUGAUGUGAAAUCUCGGGGCUCAACCCCGAGCGGUCAUUGGAAACUGGGAGACUUGAGUACAGAAGAGGAGAGUGGAAUUCCACGUGUAGCGGUGAAAUGCGUAGAUAUGUGGAGGAACACCAGUGGCGAAGGCGACUCUCUGGUCUGUAACUGA